rnacentral:rRNA from 1 species
UAGCUAAUCCUGGUCGGACAUCAGGAGGUUAGUGCAAUGGCAUAAGCUAGCUUGACUGCGAGCGUGACGGCGCGAGCAGGUGCGAAAGCAGGUCAUAGUGAUCCGGUGGUUCUGAAUGGAAGGGCCAUCGCUCAACGGAUAAAAGGUACUCCGGGGAUAACAGGCUGAUACCGCCCAAGAGUUCAUAUCGACGGCGGUGUUUGGCACCUCGAUGUCGGCUCAUCACAUCCUGGGGCUGAAGUAGGUCCCAAGGGUAUGGCUGUUCGCCAUUUAAAGUGGUACGCGAGCUGGGUUUAGAACGUCGUGAGACAGUUCGGUCCCUAUCUGCCGUGGGCGCUGGAGAAUUGAGGGGGGCUGCUCCUAGUACGAGAGGACCGGAGUGGACGCAUCACUGGUGUUCGGGUUGUCAUGCCAAUGGCACUGCCCGGUAGC